rnacentral:rRNA from 1 species
UAACGCAUUAAGUACCCCGCCUGGGGAGUACGAUCGCAAGGUUGAAACUCAAAGGAAUUGACGGGGGCCCGCACAAGCGGUGGAGCAUGUGGUUUAAUUCGACGCAACGCGAAGAACCUUACCAGGGCUUGACAUCUAUCUGACGUAUUGUAGAGAUAUGAUAUUUUCUUCGGAACGGAUAGACAGGUGGUGCAUGGUUGUCGUCAGCUCGUGUCGUGAGAUGUUGGGUUAAGUCCCGCAACGAGCGCAACCCUUAUUCUUAGUUGCCAUCAGGUUAAGCUGGGCACUCUAAGGAGACUGCCGGUGACAAACCGGAGGAAGGUGGGGAUGACGUCAAAUCAUCAUGCCCUUUAUGUCCUGGGCUACACACGUGCUACAAUGGCCGGUACAACGGGUUGCGAGACUGUGAAGUUUAGCCAAUCCCUUAAAGCCGGUCUCAGUUCGGAUUGCAGGCUGCAACUCGCCUGCAUGAAGUCGGAAUCGCUAGUAAUCGCGAAUCAGCACGUCGCGGUGAAUACGUUCCCGGGCCUUGUACACACCGCCCGUCACACCACGAAAGCCAGCAACACCCGAAGCCGGUGGCUUAACCGUAAGGGAAGAGCCGUCUAAGGUGGGGUUGGUGAUUGGGGUGAAGUCGUAACAAGGUAACCAAGGGCGAA